rnacentral:rRNA from 1 species
AUACGGAGGGUGCAAGCGUUACUCGGAAUCACUGGGCGUAGAGCGCGCGCAGGCGGCUAUUUAAGUUGGAUGUGAAAGCCUACGGCUCAACCGUAGAACUGCAUCCAAAACUAUUUAGCUAGAGUGUGGGAGAGGAAGAUGGAAUUAGUUGUGUAGGGGUAAAAUCCGUAGAGAUAACUAGGAAUACCAAAAGCGAAGGCAAUCUUCUGGAACACUACUGACGCUGAGGCGCGAAAGCGUGGGGAGCAAACGGGAUUAGAAACCCGAGUAGUCC